rnacentral:rRNA from 1 species
CAGUAGCCGCGGGAAUACGUAGGGUGCAAGCGUUAAUCGGAAUUACUGGGCGUAAAGCGUGCGCAGGCGGUUUGUUAAGACAGAUGUGAAAUCCCCGGGCUCAACCUGGGAACUGCAUUUGUGACUGGCAAGCUAGAGUGUGGCAGAGGGGGGUGGAAUUCCGCGUGUAGCAGUGAAAUGCGUAGAUAUGCGGAGGAACACCGAUGGCGAAGGCAGCCCCCUGGGCCAACACUGACGCUCAUGCACGAAAGCGUGGGGAGCAAACAGGAUUAGAUACCCGCGUAGUCCCUGUCUCUUAUAC